GUUUUUAUAGUUGAAUACAACAGAAGUUUUUCGGACUUCCGGUCUAGGUUAGAGUCCUUGUAGAAAUU
rnacentral:tRNA from 1 species